rnacentral:rRNA from 1 species
UACGUAGGGUGCAAGCGUUAAUCGGAAUUACUGGGCGUAAAGCGUGCGCAGGCGGUUGUGCAAGACAGAUGUGAAAUCCCCGGGCUUAACCUGGGAAUGGCAUUUGUGACUGCACGGCUAGAGUGUGUCAGAGGGGGGUAGAAUUCCACGUGUGAGCAGUGAAAUGCGUAGAUAUGAUGGAGGAAUACCGAUGGCGAAGGCAGCCCCCUGGGAUAACACUGACGCUGCAUGCACGAAAGCGUGGG